CGAAAUCAAGGAAUCGUUCAUAACCGACUCAUCACUACUCUGCAUCAUCAGUAAAGAGCUCCCGGAGAAAGUCCGUGUUCCAGGUGGAGGAUGCAGACCCUCUGCCGGGAUGGAGAAACUGUAAGACCUCGCAACGGUCGUACAGUCGCUCCAUCCCGGCAGAGGGUCUUCAUCCUCCACCUGGAUGACAGAGUUUCUCCCAGAGCUCAUGGACUAUGGACUAUAGCUUCCAGAGGCUUCGGAUUUGGCAAAAGAGAAACUCAAUGGCAAACUUCUUAACGGCCAUAAAGUCUCCAUUAACACUUUAAUCCCGUAAAGAGCACAAGACUGAGAGGUACCACCACACCCAGGUCUUCAAUAACAAGCAGAAGACCCUACUGAGACGAGAACACCAGGAUAACCCUGUCCAUCAUAACGUGCAGAGGAUGGAGAAUGUGCAGAUUCAGAAUAUGACUCCCUCUUUCACACCAAGCCAGAAGGUAGAGCCAAAUAAAGAAAAUGCCCCAGCAGUAGACAACUGUGGAUGAGAAACCAGUUCCACCUCAAGUUCCAGCUGUAGAACAGAGUCCAGCUCCACCUCAUGUUCCAGCACACACACAAACACAUCCGACACACACACACACACACACACACACACACACACACACACAAUAAUAAUAUAUUUAGGAAUGAUUUGUAAUAAGUGGAUGUAAUAACAAGUGUAUAUUCAUAAUAUUAUGAUAAUAAAAUAAUGUAAUAUUUCA